UACAUGGGUGGCGACCGGCAAACGGGUGCGGAACACGUACGCAACCUUCCUUCAGGCGGGGAAUAGCCCAGAGAAAUUUGGAUUAAUACCCCAUAAUAUUUUGAGAUGGCAUCAUCUUAUUAUUAAAGCUACGGCACCUGGAGAUGGGCGUGCGGCUGAUUAGGUAGUUGGCGGGGUAAUGGCCCACCAAGCCUACGAUCAGUAGCUGAUGUGAGAGCAUGAUCAGCCACACGGGCACUGAGACACGGGCCCGACUCCUACGGGAGGCAGCAGUAAGGAAUAUUGGUCAAUGGACGCAAGUCUGAACCAGCCAUGCCGCGUGGAGGAUGAAGGUCCUCUGGAUUGUAAACUUCUUUUAUCUGGGACGAAAAAAGGGUUUUCUAACUCGUCUGACGGUACCAGAUGAAUAAGCACCGGCUAACUCCGUGCCAGCAGCCGCGGUAAUACGGAGGGUGCAAGCGUUAUCCGGAUUCACUGGGUUUAAAGGGUGCGUAGGCGGGCAUUUAAGUCAGUGGUGAAAUACCUGAGCUUAACUUGGGAACUGCCAUUGAUACUAUUUGUCUUGAAUGUCGUGGAGGUUAGCGGAAUAUGUCAUGUAGCGGUGAAAUGCUUAGAUAUGACAUAGAACACCUAUUGCGAAGGCAGCUAACUACGCGAAUAUUGACGCUGAGGCACGAAAGCGUGGGGAUCAAACAGGAUUAGAUACCCUGGUAGUCCACGCCCUAAACGAUGAUUACUCGACAUUAGCGAUACACU
rnacentral:rRNA from 1 species